UAAUCAGAGGGGAAUAACAAUGAGAAAUCAGUGCUAAUACCGCAUAAGGUUCAGUCAUCGCAUGAUGGCAGAAGGAAAGGUGGCGGACUCGAGAGAGGCUAUCGCUGAUAGAGCGACCCGCGUCUGAUUAGCUAGUUGGUGGGGUAAAGGCCUACCAAGGCGACGAUCAGUGCCGGCCUGAGAGGGUGGACGGCCACAUUGGGACUGAGACACGGCCCAAACUCCUACGGAAGGCAGCAG
rnacentral:rRNA from 1 species